UUUGAACAAGUUAAAAGUCUGUGCAUGUGUUUUGUCUGUGCAUUCAUUUCCCUGGUGGGUUUUCUAUGAAACUGCACUGCAUUCUGUUCCUCAAACGCUCCGGACACAGACAUUCUGGAUAACAACAGACAUCUGCUGGACCUAAUGCUCAUCCAAAACAGAGCGGGAAACACCAGACAGGACCUGACUUAUGCACAUUUGGUAAAUCUCUGUGUACUGAUCGUCAGGGAUGCAUUUGGUGGGCGUCUGGGUGACAUAUGAAGAUUGUAAUGCAGUUGGUCUGUGUGAAUGCGGGUGAUGGAGAAGUGGAGUGUGCAGAACACAUUAAGAGCAGAACAGGCUUAUGUAACCAAUGCAGCAAAGCACCAAAGCUCAAGGCAUCAGAACACAAGCACCAACAGCUGAUGUUUU
rnacentral:lncRNA from 1 species